ACUUGUCACUGCUGACUGAGGAUAAUUUUAACCGUCGAUCCCAACCGUUUAGUACUGGUAAAUCGCUCCACCUACGUUACUAUACGCGUAUAACAGUAAGGAAUUGACGUGCCGAUGGUGAAAGAACGCGUUUUGUGCCUACGACUCUUUCAUCUUGUACCGCGGUGGCGCACUUUUCAACACGCCGUCAUUGCAAAAAUGUGUUACGAUACGUGUAUUAAAUCGUAAAAAAAAAAAAAAAAAAAAAUUGAAGCUGAGAUCUCAUUUUACUCAAAGUCCCGGAUAACGAGCGUAGCGUACUCCUGCUUGUAUCGAACUUUAUAAACAAAUUACUUGUGAAGUCUGAUCGACUGGAAAGGCAUGAAACUGAAAGGAUAAACGCGUUAGCGUAUGCUUAACUCCGAUCAGUUACAAGCACGUUCAAUAGGACAACGUUUUUUCAAGUUCGUGAUCGUUUCAGUUACCUUCUUCUUAUUUUCCUUUCAACGAUCACUAGAAGCAUCGAAUAGAAGAUCCAGUAGGAUCGAAAUUCACGUAUCAUUUUCGCGCGUAUCUUUCAAUUUCAUCGUUUCACAUUCGAAUCUUCCAAAUGUUUUGUCUUUUCGCUGUCGCUGAGAGUUUGACAAAUAGUUUCUUGUUUGAUGGAAGAUUAUAUCCUUUUAAGUUCAUCUUGUACGGUACACGAGGUAUAACAGUAUUAACGCUAUCUGUAGGUAGCAACGGAUACGUGCUAAAUUGCACUCACCGUAUUUUAGUUAACAAUUUUUAACUAAUUUUAUUUUACGCCUACACUGCCUGUCGUUAUUCUAUAUAAGUACACGAUUAUACGUGAAAGCAUUACACUGACUGUACAUAAAAUAUAUCGAGAACUAUUUUGCUACGAAGCUGCAUAUGCUUUAUAUCGAUUGUUUUAGUUAAUCGCAUAUCAUUUACCGAGCUUCGUAUAACAAAACGACUGUCCAAAUUAUCAAUAUAUAUCCUGGAAAUAGAGCGAUAUUAAAGUGAUCGUAAUUUUAAGCAGUUCGAUUUCGGUUUCAUGCCUUCCGUGAAUUUAUCACGUAAAAGCUAUACGUCGCAGAAAUCAUUCAAAUUACAUUUUACAUAACAUAUCGAAACACGAAGAAAAGAGAAAUUACAAAUUUUCCUCUGUAGAUUCUAUUAUCUACCGUGAAAAUUGAAUAGGACGUAGAUCAACAAAUUAUACACAUGUAUUCGACACAGUUGAUCCGUGUUCUACCCAAAACACGAAGAUUCGGGAAACUUUCUUGAAUCGUAUCUUAGCGUCUAUAAAAGGACUCGUUCAUUUCGGAGUAAUUUUUUUAUUCUUGAAACACACGUGUUUAAACAAAGAUAAUUAUUAGAAAUGUAACAAAAAAAAAAAAGAGAACCAAAGUAUGCUUGUAAUUGAAUAUACAUCAAUAUAGGUUUGAUUUUAAAGCAAUAAAAAUACAAACUUUUACCGUCUCUGUUUAACUCUACAAAAGAAAAUAAAAACAGAAUUUCCUUGGAACGAAUCGUUGUCUGCUAGAUCGACGCGAACACAACUGGAUUUAAAACCAAAAGAAAAUAAAGAGAGAGAGAGAGAGGGAGAGAGAGAGAAAAAGGAAUAUAAAACUGUACGUGACAUAGUUAUACAGUACUGUGCACUUACUUUGUGGAAAACUUUCUCGAGAGCUUAUUUAAUAUGUUUGUGCCACGAAGUUACGAGAAGAAGAGCGUUACGAUGUGAUAUAUGCAAAUCCCCGUGGAUGUUCUGAAAAUGCACCCAAGCAGUGAAGAGAUAUACUUAACGUGAAAAUAUGCGCGCGAUGGCGAAGGGGAAAAGGAUCUUGUCAGCCCUGCCGAUUAAACGAGCAAGAAUAUUUUAAGAGGCGAUGUAAUCGACAGACUGUCACUUGUCUGCGCGUGAAGACGGCGAAUACUAACUUUACCGUGUCCGAAGGUCCGAACUUCUACUAGUCUGGCCAACGAUUGCGUACCACUGCCGAGCCAUACCGAUGUACCGUGUUAGCGUACCGUGAGUGCCCGUACACGUUGUAUCCAUUAAUUAUUGGCCAAGCACAUCCGACGACGAAACGUUCGAUGUACUUAGAACGAAAGCGAGAGCGCGGCGCACUAGAGAGAAAGAUCGCAAACUAAAGGAAUGGACAGAGUGUAUCACGAUUUAUGUAAAAACGAAAAAACAAAAAAAAAAAAAAAGAGAAUCUAACAAAGAAACGUUAUGUCGCUAGCUUCUUCACACCUGUAUGUAUUACGCUGUUAUUGGCCGUCGGAUGUCUUGAAGUAAUACGCUUAAAUGGAGAUGAGAACUAAACCUAUUAACUUUGUGGAUUUCCUCUCUCGUUAUUAUCUGUAUCUUCCCACUGGGUAUGUACCGAGAGUAUUGUUCCUUUUAUAAGCUUGUCGGCGCAAGUAAAUGUCGAGCAAUCGGACAUUAGAUUUGUAUACAGCGAAAGAGUGCGAAUGCAAAUGCUACGACGAAAGGAGAGAAUGAGCGCGGUAAUGUAAGACCUAGAGAAAACAUAGAGAGGAGGUAUCGAUUGGCGGAGUGGAAGAGAACAAAUUCAGAGUACCAGAGUGAUGGAAGGACAAAGAAAAGAGGAAGGAGAUCCCGUUGUCCUCCAGUGUGUAUGCUUUCAUGUGGAAAGAGAACGAAUCUUCGUGUUACUCGAAUGCUUAAGAAGCUAAUGCCUCUUACGUUUUCUUACUUUUUCGUUACUAGUAUCGUUUGUAAGCAUGAUCUCUCGAUGGAACAUAUACGACACAAACAUACACAUACAAACAUAUGCACACACACCAAAUUUCGCGAUUAGGGUAUAUAUUAGUAAUGAAUUCCAAAAUUAAGGAACGGAGUUAUCUCCGUGAGAGGAGAGAGAGGAAGGGAGCACGCGCAAGAGAAUGAAAGUGAGAACGUAUGAAAGAAAGAAAAAUGCGCGAGUGAAUCUUGUGGAAACGAGAGAGUCUCCGUAUUUAUAUCGCUAUUCAGCCACAUAUCGUUGGCGUGAUUAUGCUGCAACUAUGUUGCAAUUUAGCUUGUAGUCUUUUUUUUAGUCGAUUUUUCAUGUGUCACCAGUUUUUAAAUAUAACACGACUGACUGCUGGUUAAGUAUGGUUGUGAGCGAUUAAGAAAAUGUUUCCUUAUCUUAUCCGGGAUAUAUGUCCCCUUUUCUUAACGAUAUUUUUGUUUUCUUAUUCAUUCUUGUACUUCGUAUAGAAAAGGUUGUUAUGCUCGUCCCAAUGACGAAUUCGAUCGUCCAUUACUAAUGAUAGAACAAUGAUUGAGUUUGAAAACGAUUAUUUGUAUAUUUGUAAAAUGGUGCGAAUAGAUCGGACCGAGAUCAAUGUAUGUAUGUGUCUUUCAUUUCCUCGCUUUUAAUGAGUUGCUACAAACUCACGACUUACCGUUCGUUUUUCAAUUACGAGAACGACAGGCGGUCAUGUUCCAGCAAGACUCGAGCUGAUCGCAAAUCAAUCCGUAGAGGAUAUGUGAUUUCCGUUGCGUUUCUUUUUUCAAUCGUUUGUUUCGUAAUUAUUACAAAGCGAAAUUUAUUAUUUUUAAUCGUAUAUUGAAAAAUUUACUCGAUAUUUUCUUUUCUUGUAUCGAUUAUAUAAGACUCGUUCCUUAAUUAUUUCUUUAACCCUGACUAUUUUUUUUGUGUGGAUUCUGUGCAUGUAACUGGUAUCUUCUUUAAUCGUUCCAUUACAUGUAUUUCCAAUUCGUUUUCAUUAUAAAGCAAGGGCUAAAGUUUGUAAAGCUAUUAUUAAAUUUUGAUCUGUCUUUAAGAUAUUUACCUUGGAAUGUUAGUAACAUUUAUUUAAAAAGAAAAAAAACGCAUUCAAUUAUAGCUAUAAUAUGUUAAUCAAUGUGUUGCGUUUUUGUAGUGAAUUUUUCACGCGAUACAUUUCGCUCUGCGAACAUGAUCUAGAUAAUGUACGGUUAGUGUGCGUUUUAAUUAUUAUUAUAAAAGUUUGUGUAGCAUGUAUUCGUUGUUAAAGCAUUCUGCAGCUUGUGUUCGAUGAUUAUUUGCCAUUUAUAUGGAAUUGGCAGCUCAUGUGCAUUAUAAUAGUAUGCCCAUGUAAUGAGUGUGAUUGAUGACGUUAUAGAAAUUUUGAGAAGUUUAUCGAUAUAGUGAGGAGACGUUAUGCUAUGGAAAGAAAAAAUAAAAAUCGGGCGACGAUUAAUUUUUGUAAAUAGGAAUUAUUGGAAUGGAUAUAGAAGUACGCACACGGAAACACGAAAAGUUAAAAUAUGUGAAAUGUCGGAUAUCCGGACAUGUAUCAGCUUCAGAUUAUAUAUACAUAUACAUAUAUGCAUAAACAAUAUCAAUAAUGGCGAUUACUAAGCUGUAUUGUUAUUACAGUAAUUACCACUGUCUCGCAACGGCAGUGAUCGACUAAUUUUAUUACCGCGUAAUCGUAAAUGAUGCCAGUGAGAAGUGAAUGUGUUCUUUGUGACGAAAUCGAACGAAGAAGAGUAUGGAAAUCGCUAAUGAAUUAUUCCAUUUGCUAAUUUAUAGAGACAAUUUAAAAGUAUCGAAGAUGCUUUUCGAAGAUAUUUUGUCCAUUUCGUACAUGUCUACAAACACAAAGACAAUGACGUCUGAAGUUUUUGAGCGAGAAUAUUCUAUUAUAUUAAUGGAACGACAUUGUUCACUUUUAACGUGCUUUUGUUAUUCUAUUAGUGGAUUCGUUUUCUUUCCACUUACGAAACUAAUAAUCUAUUAAAGAUAAAAAAAAAGAAGAUUAAUGUACAUAGAAAUUAAAUUGUUUGAGUACUA